rnacentral:rRNA from 1 species
GUCUAUGGCCAUGCCACCCUGAACACGCCCACGCCCGAUCCCAUCUGAUCUCGGAAGCUAAUAAGCAGGGUCGGGCCUGGUUAGUGCUUGGAUGGGAGACCACCUAGGAAGAUCAGGUGCUGUAAGCG